GACAGAGGUGCCAAGCGUUAGGCGGAAUCACUGGGCUUAAAGCGUGUGUAGGCGGAUCGUUAAGUACCUUGUGAAAUCCCACGGCUCAACCGUGGAACGGCUGGGUAUACUGGCGGUCUUGAGCCACCUAGGGGCGAGCGGAACAAACGGUGGAGCGGUGAAAUGCGUAGAUAUCGUUUGGAACGCCAACGGUGAAAACAGCUCGCUGGGGGUGUGCUGACGCUGAGACACGAAAGCCAGGGGAGCAAACGGG
rnacentral:rRNA from 1 species